rnacentral:rRNA from 1 species
CACGGACCGCACGAACGUUAUUCGGUAUCACUGGGCUUAAAGGGUGCGUAGGCGGCUUUGCAAGUUGGGUGUGAAAGCCCUCGGCUCAACCGAGGAAUUGCGCCCAAAACUGCUGCACUAGAGGAAGACAGAGGUACGCGGAACUUAGGGUGGAGCGGUGAAAUGCGUUGAUAUCCUAAGGAACACCGGUGGCGAAAGCGGCGUACUGGGUCUUAUCUGACGCUGAGGCACGAAAGCUAGGGGAGCGAACGGG